UUCUUAUGUGAUUCUUUACACUGUAUUCAUCAUAAAUGCCAUUGUGAAGAAAUACUGAUGGAAGAUUUACAUUUUUUUCUGCCACACUAGACUAAAUCAGUGUCUAAGAUGAAAAUUGACAUUUAGACAUCCAUUGUUGCAUUAUUGGAGUUUUUGUAUUGUAUUUUCUUUAUUUUCUUAAGAAAGAACACCCAAACUUGUAUUUCAUCAUAUAGUUAAAAGGGUGUAUAAGGUUUCUUAGCCUGUUCUUUUCUGUUGAUGUGCUACCUCCCCACCAGCAUCAUUAUAUAGGUGUGGGGAUGGGUGUGGCAUUUGUCCCUUCAAGGCACUCAAAAAGAGGAAUCUUGCCAACUAUGUAAAAGCACUAUAUUCUCUCUUACUUCAAGUUCUUAUAUUUUAUGUAAGUAUCAUCCUGUAGUGCACUAGACAUUAAAUAGCAAGCCAUUCUCAGGUUCCUCUAAAGAGUAGUAGCAGAGGAGCAAGAGCGAGGGCCAUCAUGGAGGCUAUGCCUCUUCCGAGUCCUUAUGAAACGGGAAGAUUCAGGCUCUCACACAGAUUAGUUGGACAACCUUUUCAGUCAUUUUCAGCCAGAGUUUCAGUAAACUCGGAUGGCUUCAUUUGUCAGUUUCCUAUAUCUCCUUGCUUUCUUCUGUUCUUCAAACUUUCUGAUGCAUCAGUUGUGUUAUUGACCUGCAAAUUCAUCACCUUUGUUUUGGCAAUCAUCUAAAGUUUGCCUUUUCUUCUCUUCAUACACUAUGUUCUUCUUAUACAGACAUGUCUUGUAUGGGUAGAGUUUGUGUACUGACUGUAAUUAUUUCUUCCUUUCUGCUGCAUGUUCCGUGCCUUUGGGAUAGACAUUGAUCUGUUUCUUAAUAUCAAUCAUUUUUGUAACUAUGAUGAUAUUAAAACAAGCAGGAUAUUGCUUGAAAUGGUAAACACCAUUGAACUCACACAAAACAUAUUCAAUGUUUCGGUGUGAUCAUAACAAAUGCACAACCUGUGUUAAAAGAAUGCAGGUAUGGAAAGAUAAUGUUUUCUGUGAGUAGUUCACUUGUCAAAAUCAAACUAUAAACAACCAUGUCCUUCACAUACUGAUACUUUAGGAGUAAGAAAAGUCUGAGAAGGCUCUAUCAAGUCUUCUGACUACAUGCAUUGCAUUGGACCGGUAAAUGGCAUACUACAGUGCUACCUGUCAUCUUCUCUCUGUUCACUUUCUUCAUGCAGAAUUGUGCUGGCACCCCUAACAGGAUCCAGAUCAUUUGGCAAUCUCCCAGACUCCCACAAUCUCAUGCCAUACUGUACUACUCACAGUGGGCUACAGAGGGGGGGCUUAUGAUUGCUGAAGUCGCAGGGGUGCCAUCUGAUGCUCAAGGAAUGAGUUUAGUAUUCUUCUGCCAGAUUUGGCAUGUCGGAAGAGCAUCUGACAUGGGUAAAUGUUUCUUACAUGAUCCCUUCCAUUUCUAUGUCGUAACCAUCAUGAUGAAUGCAAAAUGAUGUUUGGAGAAUGCUAUCUUCUUCCCACACUCAACAUAGCCCUCAACCUGUAACAUAUACAACUAAAUUUAACCCGAGUAUUAUGUGGUUCCGUUAUACAUAUUUAUAGGUCAUCUUUUGUAUCUUCUGCUGCAAGGAAUCUUCUUUUUCUGGUUUUGGUGCAACCACUGGAGCCUCACUUGCUCUCUUUCUGCUCCAACACUGAACUGAAAAAUUAAUUAUUUCAAGGAAGAACCCAUCUCAAGCACAGAUAAGCCAGUGGAAAAGAAUGAAGAUGACUACAUGAAGUUCCAGGAAAUGGAUCAUCUGACUUGCUGAAGCAAAGCAAUGUAGGUACUGUAGCAUACUGUAGAUUACUGUGGCACUAAAUCUUGAUCAUCCAUUUCCAAUCCAGGCUCACAACAAAGCUAAAGUCACGGUACUGUUUUGCUUAGCGAAGUCAGAAGAUCCAUUUCCGGAUUUCCAAUACGCUUAACUGUAGAAGAGAUCCCCGAUGACGUCAAUCAUUUCAGAACAGCUGCAAGAAAUGCUAUAGAUGCU